GGUCCUGUGGUGGAUACCAUGUCGAAUUGCAAAUUCGAAGAAGCAGCUUCAAUUCUGCCGGGACUU
rnacentral:tRNA from 1 species